rnacentral:piRNA from 1 species
UAACACCAUAAUGUAAUGAAA